UCUCCGGUCCAGAUGCUCUUCGGCUCCCAGCUACCGGUCUUUCACCGCUUCCAACAAUAGAAGAAACAUCUGGAUUGAAAAUCUGUGCUCAUCUGCAAGAAUUUAUUGGCUGAUGACCCGAUUUGGGGCUGUUUUUUGAGGGUGGUGGCUCAUCUUUAACCUUGAUGAUGAUGUUGAGUUCACUACUUAAUUUAGUUGGAGGAAGUCAUUUGUAGACGAAGAUGAGCCGUCAGUUAUUUAUCAAAGUCUCAAAAUGUAGAUGGGAAGGGGAAGGAAAGAAAAAAAAAAACUUUGACGCCUGUAGAGAAGACGACGCUGUUUAUGAAGUUUCAGUGAGCUAUUGUUUGAGAGGUUCGUAUGCCAGGCAGGACGUUGUCUGCCUACAGCUUUGUUUUUUGUUCCCAGCAUGUUGCAAAUGAACUGUAAGUUGUUUCAAACGUGAGGAACUUAUCGCCGGCGGCGUUAGGCUUAAACGCGUCGGCGAAAACAGUUUGGAUUACUUUUAACACAGAUGGGGGGCUGGUCACCGUACUACGUUGGACAGAUCAUCGAGUCUGGUUACGCAUCAUCAACAAAAUUUGGAUGAUGUUUACCAGAUUAAGAAAAACCGAAAGGCUAGCAACAUGAUAAAUUGAGUUGAAUCCAUCAGCUGCAGGCUAUCGUGGAAGAACUGAUAAAUUGAUGGAGGUCUAUAGUGGUAAGGAAGAGUUUUUGAGAACAGGUAAAAGAUUCAAAUGAUCAUAAAUAAAUU